rnacentral:rRNA from 1 species
ACUCCUACGGGAGGCAGCAGUGGGGAAUAUUGCACAAUGGGCGAAAGCCUGAUGCAGCGACGCCGCGUGGAGGAUGACGGUCUUCGGAUUGUAAACUCCUGUUAAGAGGGAAGAAAGAACGCGUAAGUAAUAUUUACGCGGGAUGACGGUACCUCUAGAGAAAGCUCCGGCUAACUUCGUGCCAGCAGCCGCGGUAAUACGAAGGGGAGCAAGCGUUAUUCGGAAUUACUGGGCGUAAAGGGCGUGUAGGCGGUUCGCUAAGUCAGUUGUUAAAGAUCGUGGCUUACCCACGAAAGGGCAAUUGAUACUGGUGAACUAGAGUUCAAGAGAGAGGAGUGGAAUUCUCGGAGUAGCGGUAAAAUGCGUAGAUCUCGGGAGGAACACCGAUGGCGAAGGCAGCUCUUUGGCUUGAUACUGACGCUGAGGCGCGAAAGCGUGGGGAGCAAACAGGAUUAGAUACCCCUGGUAGGUCAGUC